UCCACAGAUGGCUCAUUCUGUAGAGCACAAGACUCUUAAUCUCAGGGUUGUGGGUUCGAGACCCACACUGGGCA